GGAUCAUUGGUCUAGGGGUAUGAUUCUCGUUUAGGGUGCGACAGUUCCCGGAUUCAACUCCCGGACGACCCC